AUUGAACGCUGGCGGCAGGCCUAACACAUGCAAGUCGAGCGGAUGAAGGGAGCUUGCUCCUGGAUUCAGCGGCGGACGGGUGAGUAAUGCCUAGGAAUCUGCCUGGUCGUGGGGGAUAACGUCCGGAAACGGGCGCUAAUACCGCAUACGUCCUGAGGGAGAAAGUGGGGGAUCUUCGGACCUCACGCUAUCAGAUGAGCGUAGGUCGGAAUAGCUAGUUCGUGGGGUAAAGGCCUACCAAGGCGACGAUCCGUAACUGGUCUGAGAGGAUGAUCAGUCACACUGGAACUGAGACACGGUCCAGACUCCUACGGGAGGCAGCAGUGGGGAAUAUUGGACGAUGGGCGAAAGCCUGAUCCAGCCAUGCCGCGUGUGUGAAGAAGGUCUUCGGAUUGUAAAGCACUUUAAGUUGGGAGGAAGUGCAGUAAGUUAAUACCUUGCUGUUUUGACGUUACCAACAGAAUAAGCACCGGCUAACUUCGUG
rnacentral:rRNA from 1 species